GGAUCACAGAGCGCUGGGAGAGGGAGGGGCCACGCACUCUCAAACACCCAGGUCUUGUGAGAACUCACUAUCACGAGAACAGCAAGGGGAAAAUCCACCCCUGUGAUCCAGUCACCUCCCAGCAGGUGGCUCCUCCAACCGCGGGGAUCACAAUUCAACAUGAGAUUUGGGUGGGGACACAGAUCCAAACCAUAUUGUUCCUCCCUGGCCCCUCCCAAAUCUUACGUCCUUUUUACAUUGCAAAAUACGAUCCUACUUCCCAACAGUCCCCCAAGUCUUAACUCAUUUUAGCAUUAAUUCAGAAGUCCACAGUCCAAAGUCUCGUCUGAGACAAGGCAAGUCCUUUUCGCCUAUGAGCCUGUAAAAUCAAAGACAAGUUACUUCCCAAAUACGGUGGGGGCACAGGCAUUGGGUAAAUACACCAGUGCCAAAAGAGAGGCACCAGCCAAAACAAAGGGGCUGCGAGCCCCAGGCAGGUCCAAAACCUAGCAAGGCAGUCACUGAAUUGUUUUUUGGUUUUUUCUUUUUUGGUUUGGGUUUUUUUUUGGUUUUUUUUGUUUUUUUUUGUUUUUUUUUUGAGACGGGGUCUUGCUCUGAUGCCCAGGCUGGAGUGCAGUGGCAUGAUCUCAGCUUACUAUAGCCUCUGCCUGCAAGCAAUUCUCCUACUUCAGCCUCCCCAAGUAGCUGGGACUAUAGGCUUGCACCACCACACCCAGCUAAUUUUUGUAUUUUUUAGUAGAGAUGGGGUUUUGCCAUGUUGUCCAGGCUGGUCUCGAACUCCUGACCUCAAGUGAUCCACCUGCCUCAGAUUCCCAAAAUGCUGGAAUUAUAGGCGUGAGCAACCCCACCCAGACCAAUAAAUCUUAAAGCCCCCAAAUAAUCUCCUAAGACCCAUGUCUCACAUCCAGGCUACACUGAUGCAUGGAGGUGGCUCCCAAGGCCAUGGGUAUCUUUGCCCCUGUGGCUCUGUAGGGUGCAGCCCCCAUGCUGCUCUCAUAGGCUGCUGUUGUGUGCCUGUGACUUUUCUAGGUGCACCACACGGUGCAAGCUGUUGGUGGGUCAUUCUGGGGUCUGGAAAACGGUGGCCCUCUUCUCACAGCUGCAGUAGCCAGGGCCCCACUGGGGACUCUGUGUGGACCCUCUUCUCACAGCUGCAGUAGCCAGGGCCCCACUGGGGACUCGGUGUGGGGGCUCCAACCCCGUCUUUCUCCUCUUCACUGCCCUGGAGCAGUGGUCUGAGCUCUAUCUGGAGCCCUUUUAGCCCCGGAGCAACAGGGAUGCAGGGGCCGGUGUCCCUCAGGGCAGUGGCCCCCAAAACCAUUCUUCCCUCUGAGGCCUCCAGGCCUGUGAUGGGAGGCACUUCCAUGAAGGUCUCUGACACGCCUGGAGACAUUUUCCUCAUUGUCUUGGCAAUUAAUAUUCAGCUUCUCUUUACUUAUGCACAUUUCUGCAGCCAGCUUGAAUUCCUCCCCAGAAAAUUGUUUGUUUGUUUGUUUUUCUACCAUGUGGUCAGGCUGCAAAUUUUCCAAACUUUUAUGCUCUGCUUACCUUUUAAAUCUAAGUUCCAGUUUCAGGUCAUCUGUUUGCUCAUGCUUAACAAAAGCGACCUUUGCUCCAGUUCCCAAUAAGUUCCUCGUCUCCCUCCAAGUCUACCUCAGCCUGGACUUCAUUGUCCAUAUCGCUAUUAGCAUUUUGAUCACAACAAUUUAACAAGUCUUUAGGAACUUCCAAACUUUCCCUCAUCUUCCUGUCUUCUUCUGAGCUCUCCAAAUUGUUCCAGCCUCUGCCUGUUACCCAGUUCCAAAGCUGCUUCCACAUUUCCAGGUGUCUUAACAGCAAUGCCCCACUUCCCUGUACCAAUUUUCUGUGUUAGUCCAGUCUUGCAUUGCUAUAAAUGAUGCCAGAUUUUGCUCAGCCACUUUGCCAACCAGGGACCUCCGUGGCCGGUCACAUCCCCAACCCAGGCCUGCCACAGAAGGCACCCACACACUCGACCCACUGGGCCAUGCUUGGCUUAUGCACUGGCUCAGCCCACCUGUGUUAUAGCUUAUACCUGCAUUCAUUGGUUCCCAAGUUCUUGUCCCACGUCCAAGAAGAAUGAGGUUACACUGACAAUUCAAAGGGUGAGGAGAGUGGAGAAGAAUUUUAUUGAGCGAUGAAACAGCUCUCAGCGGAGAGGGGACGCGAGGGUGCUCAGCCGCCCAGCGUUGGGUGUGCCUGGGUCCAGGGCUUUUCUGAGCACAGAGUGGGGAGGGGCAGGCUGUAGGUAGCAUUGGAAAAGGUGAUCUUUGGUUGGUUAAAAAGCAUUAUUCAGAAAGAACCAGUGGGAAAGAGUGGGCAAACAGGAAUAGAAGUUCUCACUCUGGGCUGCAGGUUUCAGGCUGUUUUUGGCUUGAAGGUGGGAUUUCACCAGGGACCCACCCCUGUCUAUCUGGGCAUUUGACUGCUUCCUGUUUCUUUCAUAAGGAACUACCCGAGAUGGUAAUUUAUAAAGAAAAGAGGUUUAACUGGCUCACAGUUCCACAGGCUGUCAGGAAGCAGGGCUGGGGAGGCCUCAGGAAACUUACAGUCGUGGCAGAAGGGGAAGAGGAGGCAGGCAUGUCCCACGUGGUGGAGCAGGAGGAAGAGCUCACCUACAGCAAAUUAUUUAAGACCAAGCAUUUGUCUCUGUUCUGUUCCCUCUCUGGACGCACCCUCCUGCCUCCGCCCUGACUUGCCUUCUCCUGAGCACUGAAGAUAUUUUCGGCUUGUCCGAUGUGACUCCACAGACAGCAGAAACCCUUGCUUCAUCAGGGCAGCAUCAGGGCACCACACAUGCCUGGGCUUGCACAACACAGCCGGAGCACUGUCACUCAGCAGCAGCUGCUGCUUUCACUAAACAGUUACCUUGAGAAGAAAAGAUAGGUGUCAAGUGCUGAGAGCUGUGCUAGAGUUUCAGGGUCCGAGCUGGCAGGAACUGAAGUCCCAACGCUCCUCAGCCCUUGGCUGUCCUCAGAGCUGCCCUCUGCAUGGGGACACCAGGCUGCCCCUGCCCAGGGACACCAGGCCGCCUGCUCCUGCUCUGUGCAUCUCUCACGUCAGGCUCCUCACCCAGCAUUGUUUGGGCUAUGACAGUGGCUGUGAGAAGACCCUGAGACGGGAAGCAGUGUGCAGGGCACUUGAGGGCCCACUGGGGAGAAGCCACCUGUGAGGGACAGGACCGGGCAGGGAAGGCCACCAGCCAUGCGGUCACAGCCCAGGACUCCGCCAGUCCUGCAGGAGCCCUGGAGCCAGGCCCUUGCUGUACCUGGCCCACAGCUACCUCCCCUGCAGCCCUGAGUCCUGCUUGCUGUGCCCGGCUCAGGCUGAGACUGCAGUGCUUGUCCGUUCACCGUGAAAGGAAGGGAAACGUUCCAACUGUCUAAUGGGAGUUCCAAAAAGAAGAUAUCCAGGGAGGAAAUUCACAGUCAAAUUUCCCCACACCAAAGGUCAUGAGUUUUCAGAUGGAAAGAACACCCAACCAAGGGAGAGAAAACAGCAUUCUAAACAUCGGAAGGAAGCGAAACCUCGCCUCAGGCCUGCGGGCUCUGACAGGCAGGAUGGCAGCACGGAGGGCUGCUAUAUCCAGUGAAGUCAGCAGUUCAGAUGAAAUAGAUAACUCCCUUAAAAGACACAAAUUACCAAGACUGACGCAAACACUGAAACAGACUGAACAGUUCUGAGUUCUCAAUUUAAAACCGCAAAGCAAAUAACAGGCCCAAAAGGCUUCACUGAUAAAUUCUCUCAAACAUUGAAGGCAAAAAAUAAAACCAGACACAACAAAGUAAGUCUCUGACGAAACAGAGCGGGGAGGAACACUUCCUAACUCCCCAUAUGGGACCAGCACUACCCUGAAAUCAAAACCAGACAAGAAAACGAGAGGACAGUGUUCCCAAUGGGCAGACACACAAAAUCCUUAACAAAACGUUAGCAAAUUAAAUCUAGUUAAUGCACAAAAAGACAACACGUCAUGAUCAAGCGGCAUUUAAGCCAGGAGUGGAAGGUUUUUUACUUUCAUAUUCGAAAAUCAGUCUGUGCAAUUCACCAGAUUUUUUUUUUUUGAGAUGGAGUCUCGCUCUGUCACCCAGGCUAGAGUGCAGUGGCACGAUCUCUGCUCACUGCAACCUCCACCUCCCGGGUUCAAGCGAUUCUCCUGCCUCAGCCUCCUGAGUAGCUGGGAUUACAGGUGCGCACCACCAUACACAGCUAAUUUUUGUAUUUUUAUUAGAGACGGGGUUUCACCAUGUUGGCCAAGCUGGUCUCGAACUCCUGACCUCAAGUGAUCCACCCGCCUCGGCCUCCCAAAGUCCUGGGAUUACAAGCGUGAGCCACUGGUAAUUCACCAUAUUUACAGAAUGAAGAAGAAAAAUCAUAUCAUUUCAAUAGAUACAGAAAAAGCAUUUGCAAAUGCCAAAACCCUUUUAUAACAAGCACUCUUAGCAAACUAGGAGAAGAAGGAAAAUCCUUGAACCUGAUGAGGGAGUCUCUAAAAAGCCACCAGAUUACAUCCUGCUCGAUGGGGAGCUGCUGGGCGUUUUCCUCCUGUGGCCAGGAAGGGGUGCCUGCCCUCCCCACUGCCACCCAGUCUCAUUCAACACAGAGUUUGUCUGCUGUUAGAAGCCGAGACGUUGGUUACACGUGGAGGUUGGGAGUGGCUCAGGCAGGCAGAGGGGCUUCUGGGAACCCGGCCAUGUUCCCUUUCAGUCUGGGCGCUACUUAGAGUGGGGGGCAGUUGCUUCAAUAAAACAGGCCAGGCGCGGUGCUCACGCCUGUAAUCCCAGCACUUUGGGAGGCCGAGGCGGGCAGAUCACCUGACGUCAGGAGUUGGAGACCAUCCUGGCCAACAUGGUGAAACCCCGUCUCUAUUAAAAAUACAAAAAUUAGCCAGGCAUGGUGGCGUGCGCCUGUAGUCCCAGCUGGUUGGGAGGCUGAGGCAGGAGAAUCACUUGAACCCGGGAGGCAGAGGUGCAGUGAGCCGAGAUUGCACCACUGCACUCCAGCCUGGGCGACAGGGCAAGACUCUGUCUCAAAAGAAAAAAAAUUCUACACAUCCCUCACCACACUGUACAUAGGACAGCUGGGUGUAAAUUACACCUCCAUUUAAAUGCCUGUAAUCGUUUUAUACAACUAUAAAAUAUAUACGUGCCAAAAUAAAUUUGAUAGGAACAUUGGAGCCGGGUAAGGUGACGCAUGCGUGUAGCACUUCGAGAGGAUCCUUUGAGCCCAGGAAGUCGAGGCUUCAGUGAGCCAUGACUGCACCACUGCACUCCGGCCCAGGCAACAGUGAGAUCCUGUCCCAGAAAGAAAAGAGAAAAAAAGAAAAAUGCGAUUUGGAAAUGUGGAGGUCGAGGUUGACAGCGACACCGAGGUCGAAGCCAGUUGCCCCUGGAGAGCGGGAGACUGGGCUGGGCCGACUCCAUCCUCUGCCGCGAGAGGCCUACGGGCAGGGGCAGGUAGGUGGGCAGGGGGCCUGUGCUGGGUCUCUGGCCGCGUCUGGACGGCAGGCGACACUUUCUCCACAAAGAGCGUCAAGAAACCACGACACUUGGUUUCUGGACUUUUCCGCGGAACAGUAACCUGAACAAUCGCCAUCAAGUUCGUUUCUGACACGGCUCAGUGCAGCCUGGACGCCCUGAACCAGCCCCUCCUGCGCCUGGGCCACGGCCGCUGCCUUCAGGGCAUCACUGGUGGGCGGCGGCCGCACAACCAUCCCCCCUUUUGGGCGUUAAUCUCAUUUCUUUCCUCCCUUCCUUUCCUUCUUUCUUUAAUGGUGAAUGGAGGAGCACCGAGCACCACCCCAGUCUCAGUUUCAGAUCCCAGCGCCUCGUCCCUGCCCACUGCCCUGGCCCACCCACCGGCAUCAGCACCGCCACUGCCCUGGCCCCACCCACCGGCAUCAGCACCGCCCACUGCCCUGGCUCCACCCACCGAGUUCUCGCCUAUGAGGAAGGGGGACCCUGAGUGGAGGUGUCAAACCCUAGGGGCCGUCCCUGCUGUGCAGGGCUCUGUGGGGCUCUGUGAGGCCUCUUGCCACACAGGCUUGUGUCUGCAGGACUGUGCGGCAUUUACUCCCAUCUCAAAUACCCCAUGCAGGGCAGACUGCCCCUGCCCCGCCUGCCCACCCACUCCCACAUACCUCCUCUGGAAGGGGAACGAGCCACAGAGUGACAUGGGGCGUUCCAGCUCCAGGGGUCUUGGAAGGCCUGGCCCGGUGUGGGGGCCCCUCUGCCCCGCAGGCCGCUCUGCGCAGUCCUAUCCUCAGGCGUGCCUUCGCCCAAGGCCUGCACGCACCCUGGCUUCUGUGGUACCAGCGAUAACACCAUGCCGGGCACCUCCCGCAGUCCCCACCCCUGGGCUGCUAGGGCAGAGACAGCUGCGGUCGCCCAGUACACCUGCCUGGCCUCAGGUUGGCCGAGGCGCCUGGCCAGGCUGCAGGGUCCCAGGGGCACCUGUCCAUACUGCUGGGUGCCUGAGCUCCUGCCGCUGGGCAGUGUCGGGGCAACGCGCCUCAGGCUGUGCUUGUCUCUGCAGAGAUGUCCUGGCCCCGUACGCGGUGCCCUCGGAGCUGGUGCUGGUGGAGGAGAUCCCGCGGAACCAGAUGGGCAAGAUUGACAAGAAGGCGCUCAUCAGGCACUUCCACCCCUCAUGACCCAGCAGAUGGGGGCUGCGGGUCUGGCGGGGAGCAGCAGACGUCCCCUUCACACCGAGCACCACGGGGGCCCGUCCAAGACCUGGCCUCCCUUAAACCUGAACCCCCCAAAUCAGGUCACGUAGAAUCAAGAACUGUUUGGGUGAAAUCACCAUGUGGGGUCCCCAGCCUCGGGCCAGUUGUUGCAGCUCAAGGAGACCGUCCCUGGUGUCACCUCUGCCUGGUCACCGCCGACCUCACCUGUGCAGCACGAUGCAGCCAGCCCCUGGCCCCAUGUGCUCAGGCACCUCCCGCCCCACAGUGCCCUGCAGUUGCCAGGCUCUCCAGGGCAGGUCCCGGAGGUGUCCCGCCAAAAAGAAAUAAAGACUCCACUGGAGGAAAC
rnacentral:sRNA from 1 species